rnacentral:lncRNA from 1 species
ACAAACAUAUACAUGCUCCAUAUAUCACUUGAAUAUCUAAUAAGUAUGUGCUCACAAUCAUGCUCACUUGACAUGCUAAUAACUUGGAACAAAUUAAGAGCUUGUUGACUAGGAUAACUAUUGGUAACUGAAAUUUGUCAAUUAAUCUUUGAUUUAUUGACUAACAUAUCUAUCUUAGUCGACUAGUGGGCUUGACUAGUUAGUCCAACUAAUUAUUAUUUUUAUAUACAGAAUAUUCGGCCUAAUACCAAUUUCAAAGAGAGAGGUAAGGAUAGAGAGUCGACAGAGAGAGGGAAAUCAGAAAAUGGGAGAAAAUAACACAAUUAUAUACGAGGGCAAUAAAGUCAUUUUAAGAUGUAGGAAAUUCUUAUUUUUGUUCGAUUGUUGUGCAUGUCGUGUGCAUAUUUUAAAUGUCCUAUUUAUGUCUCAAGAUUAAGAAAUUGUCCUAUUUCUAGGUUUUUGCCAAGAAAAAUAGAAUUAUCAUGGGCAUUAAAGAUAUUUCGCACCAAAAAAAUUGUAUAUUACCCUAACCCCCAUGUGAUCAAAAU